UACGGAGGGGGGCUAGCGUUGUUCGGAAUUACUGGGCGUAAAGCGCGCGUAGGCGGACCUGCAAGUCGGGGGUGAAAGCCCGGGGCUCAACCUCGGAACUGCCUUUUGAUACUGCAAAUCUCGAGUCCGGAAGAGGUGAGUGGAAUUCCUAGUGUAGAGGUGAAAAUUCGUAGAUAUUAGGAAGAACACCAGUGGCGAAGGCGGCUCACUGGUCCGGUACUGACGCUGAG
rnacentral:rRNA from 1 species